rnacentral:lncRNA from 1 species
AGCCAAACAAUUAAAAAUACAACAAUGAUAAAAGAAAAUAAGAAGUUACUCAAUAGAGAGCCUUCAGCCAUGCCCAAGCAUCUCCAACCUCACUCCUUUCGAGUUUCACAGCCAUUACCAAGGCUUGGGUGCGGCAAAGUUCACUAAGGGUUUGUUUGAACCCCUGGCCAAUACAAAGCACCCAAAAAUGUCCCAAUUAGACAAGUGCAAACAUUGGAAGUGCCAGCCGUGUGCAUCAGAGUUCCAUGGGUGCUCAAGGCUCCCAUGGCAGCGCUUAUACUAAGGGGGCAGACCCUAAAAAUCUAAGAAUGAGAUUGUAAUUGAGAGGGUUGAAAACAGUUGAGAGACAUUUUAACAAAACAGUUAAAAGAAUUGAGAGAGUUUAUGAAAAUAGUUGAAAGAGUUUGAAAAGUUGAGCCAGUUUAAAAAAUAGUUGAAGGAAUUGAGAGAAUUUAAGAAAUUAUUUUAGACUGACCAGUUUUAGAACAGCAGGGCAUCACACAAACAGGGGGCAAAGGGGAAAGGGGACAAAUAAGCAAAGUGAACUACUCACAUACAAGAAAUAAUCAGACAUGAUUGCAAGACAUGGGUUCAAUUCCUUACUGCACCAAAUUCUAAUACACUUAGCUUCAAACAGAGACUUUAGCUUAAACAAGUAGCCAAGCAGUCAUGGAUGCAUGGUAGUAGCAUACAGGGAAAGGUAAAGAUUCAUUUAGGCAGGGGAGGGGAUAAGGGAGCAAAUAAGUAGAGUGAACAGUCAACAUAUUGGAGGAAAACAAUCAAGCAUGGUUGUAGAACAAGGAUUGAAUUCUUACUGCACCAAAUCCCAAAUAUAAUCAACCUCAGGGAGAGGUUUCAGGGCUGUUAAGUAGCCAAGCAGUAGUGCACAUGGAAGAAGAACAUGCAUUGAGACAAAUCCCAAAUAUAAUCAACCUCAGGGAGAGGUUUCAGGGCUGUUAAGUAGCCAAAGCAGUAGUGCACAUGGAAGGAGAAACAUGUAUUGAGACAAGGGGAAAGGGGAUAAGGGAGAACAUGCUAAGUUAAACUAGUAGAGUAACAAUUGCAUGCUAGUGGCAAUAAGAGGAACUGAACCAUAGGUAAAAGCACACAAGAAAUAAUAUGAAUUGCAAAACUAAUAGGAGCAUGUUGUUGUGGAAACUAUAUAUUAAAUAGGUGACAUACCAGUUGGAGGUAAUAGGAUACAAUAGCAAUGCAAUAAUGCACAAAGGGAGGGCAAAAGUAUGCAAAGAAUGAGAGCAGCUGUGUGAGUAACAGCAAUAUGAGAAUAGCAACAGCAGUAUGAGAACAACAACAGCAAUAUGAGAACAGCACCAACAACGGACCCAAUGUAGACAAACAAAUAGAACCCAAUAGUGUAAAGUAAUCAACUCAGGCUACCAAAUCUUGGCUGAGCCAAUUGAGUGUUCAAACAAGAGAAUGAGAUAGUAUAGUAAUAGCAUAGGAAGAGAGAAUUCAGAGAGUCUGAGGUUGUGAGAGCAGUAUGUGUUGGUGUUCAAAGAGAAAGGUGAGGAGUAUUUAUAGUAUUAAAAACGAGUGAAAAAUAAGGCAUCAAUCCAUAUUUAAGGAACUGAUAUCAAUCAUAAUCAAAUAAGUAUAGGGACUCCCCUUUAACUAAGGAAUCAUAGUCAAACGAUAAUAAUCAGUCACUUUUAAAUGGAAAAGAAUCACAACGUAUGACAUGGUCACAUAAGGAAACGAAAUAGUAUAAGGUAUACAAUGCAUACUAGGUACAUGAGACAUUAACCAGGAAAAUAUUAAACAGUAAUAAGCAGUCAUUUUUAAAAGGAAAAGAAUCACAAAGUAUGGCAUGGUCACAUAAGAAAAAAAAAUUGUAUAAGGCAUACAAUGCAGACUAGGUACAUGAGACUUUAACCAUGGAAAUAUGUCAAGAAAAUAAGUAGACAUACUUGUACACAUCUCUCAACCUACCUUAUCAGCAGAAGAGAUGGUGGAACAUCCUACUGGAAAGUCUAGCAGAUCUUCCAAACCUUCCAUUUGGCUCAAAGACUAUGUAACUACAGUCAAAUCUACAAAAGAAACACCUCAAUAUCCAAUUUCAUCACCUAUGAUCAUAUUUCUGAGAAAUACAAAUCAUUCUUGGGCUCCUUCUCAAAACUCAUUGAACCUAGAUCAUUCAAGGAGGCUUGCCUUGAUAAGGCCUGGGUGGAGGCAAUGGAAGCAGAAGUUAGAGCACUUGAAGAUAAUGCCACCUGGGAAGUAGUAGAUAUCCCUCGGGGGAAGAAAGCUAUAAGCUCAAAGUGGGUGUUCAAGAUAAAAUAUAAGGCAAAGGGGGAGGUGGAAAGGUUCAAAGCAAGGCUAGUGGCAAAGGGGUACACACAGCAAGAAGGAUUGGAUUAUCAUGAGAUAUUUCCUCCUGUUGCUAAAAUGGUCACUGUCAGGACCAUAAUUAGUUU